rnacentral:rRNA from 1 species
UACAGAGGUCUCAAGCGUUGUUCGGAUUCAUUGGGCGUAAAGGGUGUGUAGGUGGCGCCGUAAGUCGGGUGUGAAAUUUCGGAGCUUAACUCCGAAACUGCAUUCGAUACUGCGGUGCUUGAGGACUGGAGAGGAGACUGGAAUUCAUGGUGUAGCAGUGAAAUGCGUAGAUAUCGGGAGGAACACCCGUAGCGAAGGCGGCACUCUGGGCCGGUACUGACGCUGAGGAGCGAAAGCGUGGGGAGCAAACAGG